rnacentral:rRNA from 1 species
UACGAAGGGGGCUAGCGUUGUUCGGAAUUACUGGGCGUAAAGGGCGCGUAGGCGGCGUGUCAAGUCAGGCGUGAAAGCCCCGGGCUCAACCUGGGAACCGCGCUUGAGACUGGCAUGCUCGAGUUCGGGAGAGGAUGGUGGAAUUCCCAGUGUAGAGGUGAAAUUCGUAGAUAUUCGCAAGAACACCAGUGGCGAAGGCGGCUCACUGGCCCGAUACUGACGCUG